rnacentral:rRNA from 1 species
GAUGAACGCUGGCGGCGUGCCUAAUACAUGCAAGUCGAGCGAACAGACGAGGAGCUUACUCCUCUGACGUUAGCGGCGGACGGGUGAGUAACACGUGGAUAACCUACCUAUAAGACUGGGAUAACUUCGGGAAACCGGAGCUAAUACCGGAUAACAUGUUGAACCGCAUGGUUCAACAGUGAAAGACGGUCUUGCUGUCACUUAUAGAUGGAUCCGCGUCGCAUUAGCUAGUUGGUAAGGUAACGGCUUACCAAGGCAACGAUGCGUAGCCGACCUGAGAGGGUGAUCGGCCACACUGGAACUGAGACACGGUCCAGACUCCUACGGGAGGCAGCAGUAGGGAAUCUUCCGCAAUGGGCGAAAGCCUGACGGAGCAACGCCGCGUGAGUGAAGAAGGUCUUCGGAUCGUAAAACUCUGUUAUUAGGGAAGAACAAAUGUGUAAGUAACUAUGCACGUCUUGACGGUACCUAAUCAGAAAGCCACGGCUAACUACGUGCCAGCAGCCGCGGUAAUACGUAGGUGGCAAGCGUUAUCCGGAAUUAUUGGGCGUUAAGCGCGCGUAGGCGGUUUUUUAAGUCUGAUGUGAAAGCCCACGGCUCAACCGUGGAGGGUCAUUGGAAACUGGAAAACUUGAGUGCAGAAGAGGAAAGUGGAAUUCCAUGUGUAGCGGUGAAAUGCGCAGAGAUAUGGAGGAACACCAGUGGCGAAGGCGACUUUCUGGUCUGUAACUGACGCUGAUGUGCGAAAGCGUGGGGAUCAAACAGGAUUAGAUACCCUGGUAGUCCACGCCGUAAACGAUGAGUGCUAAGUGUUAGGGGGUUUCCGCCCCUUAGUGCUGCAGCUAACGCAUUAAGCACUCCGCCUGGGGAGUACGACCGCAAGGUUGAAACUCAAAGGAAUUGACGGGGACCCGCACAAGCGGUGGAGCAUGUGGUUUAAUUCGAAGCAACGCGAAGAACCUUACCAAAUCUUGACAUCCUCUGACCCCUCUAGAGAUAGAGUUUUCCCCUUCGGGGGACAGAGUGACAGGUGGUGCAUGGUUGUCGUCAGCUCGUGUCGUGAGAUGUUGGGUUAAGUCCCGCAACGAGCGCAACCCUUAAGCUUAGUUGCCAUCAUUAAGUUGGGCACUCUAAGUUGACUGCCGGUGACAAACCGGAGGAAGGUGGGGAUGACGUCAAAUCAUCAUGCCCCUUAUGAUUUGGGCUACACACGUGCUACAAUGGACAAUACAAAGGGUAGCGAAACCGCGAGGUCAAGCAAAUCCCAUAAAGUUGUUCUCAGUUCGGAUUGUAGUCUGCAACUCGACUACAUGAAGCUGGAAUCGCUAGUAAUCGUAGAUCAGCAUGCUACGGUGAAUACGUUCCGGGGUCU